rnacentral:lncRNA from 1 species
AGUGAACAUAACAUCUGAUAACAGUGACUCAGCUGAAGAACUUUGCACCUCUGUGAAGUAUCACCAACACUGUGACAAAUGCAAUCCUGAUGGCUGUGGCCUAAAGGGCAGAGUUGCCCUUACUCUGGAGGAGGAGGAGGAAGACAUCGACAUCUGGUGGCAGGACAGGAACAAAGGGUGGGCUCCAAGACAUGCAGCUUGCUGCUGAUGGUACAGUGAUGACUUCAUACUGUCUACUGUGAGGCACCAGGAGGAUAACAAGUGACUCGCAGCCAAAGAUCAGUUUGUGUGAGGAGGCAGCAUCCCCUCCCUCCCUCCGUCCCUCCCUCUCUCCCUCCAUGGGGUGAGGGAUGGAAAUAGCAGAGAUGUUCAUGCUGCGCCUUCCUUGGGCCAAGCACGGGGGCGUGGCAUGAUGUUCUUCACAGGGACCUCUAACAUCUUUUACAUGCUUUCUUGCUCUUGUUCUGAA